rnacentral:SRP_RNA from 1 species
GGUCCCCCCGCGACGAGUCGCUGUGAACCCCGUCAGGCCCGGAAGGGAGCAGCGGCAGCAGCGAUCCUCGGGCGCCGGGGUGUGGCU